AUGUUCGAAGAGGUGCAUGAGGUGGAAGCACCCGUUCUUUCCUCUGGUGCAUUAUUCCCAUGUGCGACAGAGUGCCGCUUCUAUGGUAUUGGUGCCGUGCCAUCUAUGUUUCCACAAGGAGCAGCGCCAAGGCUUAAACAUCUUAGUUUCACCUUCCCAGCCAAGUGGAUCUCCCGUGAAAAUAUUGAUUUGGGUAUGCGGCACCUCCCUUCCCUCCAGGGAGUCGGGGUUGACUUUAUCAAGGAGGAAGCUAGCGAUGCGGAAGUGAAUGAAGCGGAGGCUGCGCUGAGGGCCGCAACGGAGGACCACCACAACCGUCCCGCCCUUUACAUCUGGUGA
rnacentral:rRNA from 1 species